CUCUUCUCUUCUCUUCUCUUCUCUUCUCUUCUCUUCUCUUCUCUUCUCUUCUCUUCUCUUCUCUUCUCUUCUCUUCUUUCUGAUGAGCCACUUCUGGUGGAGCUCAGUGCUUUUUUUUUUAUUUUUUAUUGUCUCACUGCAACAAUCUUCACUCCUGAGGUUGACUGCUGUACUCUGAUUGAAGCUAAAUGAUAACAUACUAAAAAUAGGCAGCUAAAGGCAUCGAGGUGGCUUUUCUACUAGGGGAAAUUAAAUUUUAGGCCGCAACGCUGGAUGCUGCAGCUUUUUGACCAAAAGUGGUCAUUGGAUUGGGUUUCCCCUCAUGGCUUCCUUCCCUCCUCUGUGGAGUUCAUUUUUAGCGAUCAGUGGCCUAACCUGUUAGCGCUGCCACAGCUCACCAUACAUGUGUUUAAGAAAAAUAAGUAGGAGAUAUGUUUGUUGAUCUGCCAGGGGAAAAAAAGAGAGAAAACGGGUGGGAGAGCAUCGGUGGCGAGUGGGAAGAGCGAGAAGAGAUGCUUAGGAUUUGCCUUUGGAUGUGAGAGUCUGCUUUAUCGUUGCAUGUCCAUGGGCAUCGGUUUAUUCCCACGCCCUCUUUUGAAGUGUGGAAAAUGGUUGCCAGUCAGCAGCCUUCGGAAAAAUAAAUAAAUAAAUAAACAUAAAAAACUUCCUCUCUUUGGUGGAUGUAGAUAUUUUUAUAUUUAUACUUAUUUAUUUAGCCAGAGGGCAUUAAGCGGAGUGAUGCUGUGUGGCCCAAGGCAGCGUCAGGAUACUGGCUGUCUCAGCUGGCUUGUUAGUGAGGUGUCAAAUGCUUCAAUUUCUUUACACACGCACGUAUGCGCACACACUCUGCUCAUCCAGGCCACAUAUACACAGUCAUUAAAGCAAUGUCGGACUUGUGCCAGCAUCUUUUUAGCAUCCAAGACUUUAGCCCUUCUUGGAUGUUUACAAAUCCCGUAAUGGACAAAAAUGUAAAGUCCACUUUCACUGCGGUGUGAGCAUGCUAAAAUAGAGAAAUACAAUCAACUCAGAGGAGGAAAUUGUAGUUUAAACUACAAUAAAGGCUGCCACCAGUGGUUAUGUUAUAUAAUUGAUUAAUGUUAACUGAUAACUAUUUAAUUACAGGAAAUUAAAAAAAAAAGUGGCCUGUGUUGAUGUCCAAGUCAGGUAAAAAACGUGAUAAUUCCAUAACAUAAAGAAAAGCAGCCAAUGCCCAUUACUAAGAGGCUACAUGUGUGUGAUGUCUGUCUUUUUAAAGAAAAAGGACAUUGAAGGAUUUAUCAGAACAGCUGACAGUUUACCUGCAUACCAGCUCUGGUUGGUAUUUAUAAUAUUGAUUCAUCAUCUUGGCUUCACAAAGCUUUCAAUUUCUUCCUGCAAUCCGUUAUUGUUAAUGCAUGUACCGGUGCUGUGAGUGAGGGCAGGCACUAAACGCUCUUGUAAUUACUGUAUCCUAUUAUUGACAGGCAAAUAGAUGCUUUCUUGCCAAGAAAUUGAUCAGUACAAGAUUGGUAUCUUUCUCAUUCCUGCUUUUAGUGAUGUAGCUGGAAAAGGCAGGCAGUAAGCUUCAAACAGCUUGCAUAGCUGUUCUCCAAAAAGUCAAACUGAAUUAAAAAGCUGCAUCCAUAAUUGCUCUGUAUUUACAGUCAUGUCAAAUGGUUUUCACCUGACAUGAUAGAGUCCUGUGGAGAAACUGCUUCUUAUCUAUACCUUGUGAUUAGCUCACAGAACCACUAUUUAGCAGCAUUAACUUGAACCAGUUGUUUUUUGCAUGACUUUAUCAGUGUCUCACUCCUUGUGGAGGAUUUUUUCCCCAGUCUUAUUUGCAGGAUUGCUUCAGUUCAUUGAGGUUUGUAGGCAUUUGUUUAUACGCAGCUCUCUUAAAGCCCCACCACAACAUUUCAGUCAGGUUGAGGUCUGGACUUUUUUACUGGCUCAUUGCAACAUUUUUAUUCUUUUCUUUUUCAAAUAUUCUGUUGCAGAUUUGCUGGUGUGCUUGGGAUAAUUGUCGUGCUAGCACAACCUUUAUCUGUCAGAAAUAUGGUCUCACGAGAAACCCUAGAAUACUUUAGUAUACAGAGGAGUUCAUGUUCAGACUUGGUGACUGCAAGGUGGCAAUCGUAGCUCCUCUACUACCAUGCUUGACAGCUGGUAUGAGGUGUUUGUGCUCACAUGCUGUGUUUGGUUUUCUCCAAAUCAGACAUUCUGCAUUACAGCAAACGUCUCCAAGUUGGUCUCAGCUGUCCAAAGGACGUUGCUCCAGAUAUCUUGUGGUUUAAUCAGAUGCAGCUUUGCCAGGGUGCCAUGUUCUUUUUAGAGAAGCUGUCCAAACAAGUCACACUUGUUCAGUCUUUUUCUGAUUCUGCUGUCAUGAACUUUAAACAUGCCCUCUGAACAUUGCACAGUCUGAGUUUUUGGGGAUGCCCAUUCCUGGGAAGAUUGUAGCUUAGUUUUAACCGUAAACUAAAUGCUCCAGAACAGCAAGCUUACCAAACCUUCCACUUUUAUAGAGGUGCAGUUUACCUGGCUGCAGUUUGGAUGUACUUUGUUUCUCUCAGGAGUCCGGUGAGAAACUUUACUUUUCACAUGACUGGAUCUGUUUAGUGAAUUACUUAGGCCGUUUCAGUAGACGCAAAGUAUGGUACAAGGCCUCACAAGAAGUAGCGUACAACUGAUGGUCAUUACCCAAGCAUGGAAUAGAAAGAAAACCAUAAAAACAUAGACAGGUGAGAGGAAGAAGAUUGGCGCAUCCAAAUGUAAAUGGCUGCAAAAUUUGUUUUUAUAUUGCCAAACUGCGCUGUCCAAGUGUCCAAUAGUUUUUGUGUUUAGCCAAAGAGCUCACAAUACAAGACUUUCAUAGAAUUGCCUGAAUGCAAGUAGUGAAUGAGUGCAUGAUUUGAUACAAUAAAAGGUCUGCCCACCCGUGAUAACAUGAUUACUUGUGCAUAUGGCUGCCCGAAUAUAAAGCUGAUAACUUCCACUCAAGGCAGUGUUUACUUCCUGUUUUUGCUCUGAUUUUUAUUCUAAAAGUUCUGAGUCAAAGUGGCGAUUCACAUCAUCAUCGCUCUGAUUCUUCUUUCAGGAUGUUGACAAGCUCACCGCCGUUCUUUGUCUGCCAUCCUUUUCCCAGUUACAGAACCUCCAAGUCUUCCUUUGUGCUUUUUCUCACUUCAUGAUAAAUUAAGUUUAGAGCGUGAGCCGUUUCUUUAAUGUUGCUAUCUGUGCAUUCUUCUGAAAAGCACAUCAUAUGCCAAAUUAAGAUGAAUUCAGAUGGCCAGCCUGUACUGCGCUUCGUUUUCAGCUGGUUGGAGGAUAGAAGGUAGCAACAGAAGAUGGAUGUCUUCAUUCGUUUGACUCUGUUGAUGUUCUGCCAAUUCACUGGAACCAAUCAGUUUACUACCAGAUAAAUAAAUGAUCAGUGAGCGAUUGAUAACAUCUGGAAAUCUCCUUUUUUCUUUCAUUAUCUUUUUGCAUCACACACACACACACACACACACACACACACACACACACACACACACACACACACACAAUGCAAAUUCAGUUUCCAAAGUGUUAAAAAUCGGUGUUUAAUGUGAGCAUACCUUCGGCUGUCCCCGUCAUAUUAGAUACUGGCUCAGUGAGGAGAUUUAUCAGUUAAAUGGAGAUUGAUUUUUAGCUGACAUGUGGGAAUAACCUGCAUGAAAGUGAUAACCCUGGGCUCUCUGUCCAUUUAAUGGCAACAUGAGCCAUUUGUUCCUUUACCAGGAUGUAGAGAGUGAGCCAUACUUCACUCCUCCCCGUCUCACUCUCAGGUUGUGGCUUCAGGCAGUGCAAAAUUACCUUAACUGUAGAGCAUAGAGAAGACAUUAACUAUAAGCCUGUUUAACCUGAAUGCGGGGGCUUUCUCUUGCCGUCUGUUUCCCUAUCGUUUUAAGUUUUUGUUCUGUGGAUUUCCAUCACAGCUCGCUCUCUCAUGCUGUUUCGAUCAGUGGAGUUUGUGAGUGGGUUGUGAUAGAUACGGCUCCUAACUCCUAAGGAGGUGACUGCGGCGAGUUCAGAGCAAAGAAGCACAAAUAACGUCGAAACCACAGGGACGGUGAUCAUUUUUAGAGGACUCCUUUCAGUCUUAGCUUGUCCUGAGUUUACCUUUGCUUCAGUUUAAGGCUAAACUUGCUUUCAAGUUUAGUGCAGUUCCUUGAGUUGCAAAGAAGACAAGACUUUUAAAAGGGAUCGAUGAUGGUUCACCUUUUAAACCCCAAGGACGCGUUAUAGUCAGAAAGGCUGUUGUUUGAAUUUGAGGUAUUUUAAUGCGGCUAUGUACAUGUUUGUGUUUUACCCCAGAAGGGUAGAUACCGAGCCGUUUGAAUUUCCCCUGAGCUCACUCUCACUGGAGAGAUGAAAGAAGACUCGGCAUGUGACUAAUUGCACUGUUGGCUUUACAGGAUUAGAGAGAGAGAGAGCAAAUAGAGAGAGCGAGAAGGAGUAGCAAGACCAAGGACACCAACAUGUGCCUGGGCGUAUGAAUAUUAAUGUGUGUGUUGCAAGCUUGCAGAGGAAGCAGUUGGAGAGAGGGGCAGUUUGAUGUUAGAGAGAGAGAAGACUUGAGCAAGAAGCUCAAAUUCACCAAAAACCUAUUAAGAAGAGCCGCCUGCUUCACAUCAAGUACACUCAGAAAGUUUAUAUAACACGCUAAGCAUGCUCCAGUGUCACAUGAAUAAUGCUGAAUGCAAACAAUCAAAAGGUUGUAAUCAGCUUUAUUAAGUAUUAUUAUGUUAAAGGAAUUGCACAAGUGUUUUAUUCACCUCUGCUCUUCUGAGCUUUUAAUAGUUCAACUUUUUGAUUCACUUACACUGCUCUCAUCAGUGGUGCUUUUGGGCAAACAAAAAAAGCCCUAACUGGACAGUACAGAUGAUGUCUAGCAGCUAAGGAAAGCAGCAUUUUCUUCAGGAUUUUGCCCAAAACAGCUCUAAAGCAAGAGUAAAUGGAAACUAGUGUGUGAAAAUAGUGCCAACGCUGACAAUAAAUCAGUCAUUGCAGACUUCAGAUAUAAGUUUGUCUCAUGUGGUGCACCGGUUCUGCCAGCCAGCCCAUUGCCCACUGUGCUGUUUGCAUGCUGGAACACACUAUUGAGAGUCAUGUGGAUUUCAGAUACAAUUUGCUGUGCUUGCUCCUGGGAAGCCAGAGCAGAGCAAAACAGGGAAACAUUUGAAAAACCCUCAUGCUCGUCUUCUAAAUACAAGUUGCAAUGAUAAAAUUCUGUUACUUUUCACAUAAAAAAACCAAAAACCAUACUGUAUUUAAAUUUGGCUGUUCUCUCCUCGAAGGUCGUCUCCUCGGACUGCUUGUAGCCCACUUGUAGACCUCAAACUUGUUCAGAAAGGGAAAACUUUAGUGUCAAAUUAACAGACCUUCAAAUCAAUAACCAUGACAGCUAGGUUAUGCCGAGAAGGAAAUGCUAAUCUCUUUUAAACGUCAAAUCAGUCAUGGAGUUGUGCACUGAGAAUUCACUCCAGAUGAUAAGAUGGUGCAAAGCUCUUCUGUAAUGUCCUAAAAUUUUAUGCUGUUUUGGCCACAUGAGUAUAGUCUUUGAUCACCACCCGCCCUACACGGUAGAUUUGGCUCGCUGCGAUUUUGUAGUCUCUCCAAAAUGAAAUUUAACUUGAAGGUUUGUUGUUUUAUAACCACUCCUCCAUAAGCGAAGAAGUCUGAACAGUGUUGUCACAUCAAACACUCAGUUUUUCUAUCUUUUAAGAAAACUUUAAACCAUAGAGCUACUGAGCUAUUAAUACAAACAAGCUUAAGUUGUCUCUAAAUAAAAAGACUGCCUACCAUCAACAAGCAACCUGACAUCUUUAAAACAUCUUUCCAAGAUGGGACUUUACUAACAGGGUUUAAAAAAUAAAGCAAACCAGUGCAGUAUAAUUCAGGGACUUCAGGCACACAAUAUCAGCUUUUCUCCACUUUGGUCUAUUGACGCCCAACUGGAAGCCUUGUUUCUAUUGACCGCUUGGGUAUUAGUCACAGCGCGCAGUGGUCAAAGUUUAACUAGCCCUUUGAUCAGUGCACUGACAGACCAUCGUAGCCCAGUGCAAGCCAUUGGAAAUAAUUGGAUUCAGAGUGCAGUGGUGCUGCUGUAGUCUUUUCUGGAAGUCCGAUGAGGCUAAAGCAUUAGCAGCAGCUCUUAAACUGCAUCAUAAACUGCUUUUAUUAAACAAUUUUUUAAAAAAAAGAGAGAAAUGGAUCUAAUUCUAAUCAGUACGACUGCUCAUUAUUACUCUUACCCUGUUGUACCCAGUUCUGCCACUUGUGAUGAAAGCUGACACACAACAUUUCAGCCCCUCCUUGAAUUCAAGUGAAGCAGAAAGUGGAGAGUACAGGGAGGUCAUGCUCUCUCGGAAAAUACUUGUGCAGCAGUGGAGAGAACAGACAGCCAGAGAGUUCUGCCGAAAAGUCUUCUGACCUUUUGGUAAUUUGUCCCGGGUAGUCAGGUUCGCCUUAUUUGUGGUGACAAGACUGUCAGGGAGCGACUGAGGAGUGGAUUCAAGGAGUGAAAUGCAGCAAAUAAAUGAACGAAUGAGGCUGCUGCCUGUCAGCUAGCCUAAAUGUUUGGCCCUGGAGUAAACAUCUGUAAUCUCCUCUUGUCCUCUGUCAUCAUUUUACAUGAAAUAAAUGUUAGUACAGUCUUUCAAUUGUACUAACAUUUUCUUUGCCUCUGCAUAGCCUUAAACCCUUCCACUCGCUUUAAAAGAUAAGAGCAUUUAGUAAAAUAUUAAAAAAUAUAUUUCUCAGGUUUGAUGGGUGUGUGUGUGUAUGUGUUUGCCAACAGCAUGUAGCACCAGAUAAGAGGACCUUCUUCAGCCUCAGUGUGCCAUCCUUCCCUGCUGGCACUGACUACUCAAUAAUUUAACACCCUUGCUGUCAAACACUUCAGCUAAACCCCACCAACUAAAUAUACAGCUUCCUCCAAGCAGAAAGAGGCCACAAGGUCACCUUUCACACGAACACGUCACAUGACAUCACGCUGUGCGUGUGGUGCUUCUUAGAGGAGGUCUCAACUUGAGAGUCAUUCGCAAAGUUUUAGCUUUGCGAUGCUCUCCUUUUCUUUGUCCCCCACCACCUCACCCACUCUUAAUCGGGCAGGGCUAGUCUGAGCUGUGAUGUUGCUAUAUGGUGGGUUUGGUAAUAGAGCUGUUGUGUUUUGGUGACAGCCCCCCCCCCAACCACCCGUCUGUCACCCUGUUUUCCCUUUAUCACCCUUUCAAUCCCCUCUUUCCGACUCCUCCUCUCUCCGAGGGGGGUUGGCAGUGAGUGAAAGCCACACAAGCUCUUCGUCUUCAAGGCCAUGUCAACCUGUCCCUCCCGCUGCCAUGCCAGCUGCUUUCCACGCUCAUGGUGAGCAAGAAUGCUACCCCAUGUGAUGCUUUCCCCUAGUUUUAAAUACCAAAAGAUGCAUUCAAACUAUAGCUUUAAAAUCCAGUUUCAAACAUAGAAAAGCUACAAAUCUUGCUCUGAAUUUACAAUGCUCACCUACAGCAGCACUCAAAAGAAAAUGCUAUUAGACUGUCUUAUGUGUGUUUCUAGGUGAUUAACAGUCUCUAAAUCUAAUCACAUGGUUGGAACCCGGCUGCUGCAUUUUGUUUUUGAGAGGGGCUGCGUUCACAUGGAUGGCUGUUAUAUAAAGCGCUGAAGUGAAAAAAUGCUCACACAGCAUUGUCUACAAUUUGAAUCCAGCUCCAGAAGCCUAACCCUGUGUGCGAGCGCCAGCUACUCAAUUGUUUGUUUGUCUGCGUGUGAUUGGGAAAAUAGACGAGUCAGUUGGAGUUUGCCUGCUCGCUGGCAGUGAAGGAUGGCGGGAGAAGAAUGUUGGCUAAGAGGAGGUAGCGAGCUGCAGCUGUUCAGAGUUAGCAACAUUGGUGUGAUUGUGUGCGCAAAAAGCCUGAGCCAUGAUAUUUGUAUAGCUCACAGUUGUGGCUCUUCCUCCAAUUGGACCUGCGGGUAGGGCAGGUGCAUCCUCCUAAAAAGAAAACAGGCCUGCUGGAUGUGUGCCACUGCCUCUUAUCAGUAUAAAUGCCCAGAUGUGGAGUGAGCCAACUUAGAUAAUUUUUAAGCUUCCAAGGUCUCUCAUAACAAACUGUCAAACCAUUAAGCAAUUUUCUUAACCAGCUCAGGGUUGCAGGAAGGCUGGAUCUACCCAUUCGGGUGAAAUAGGGCGACAGGCCACCGCACACUCUCACAUCCAUCAAUUUACCUGGGAGGAAAUUAGCUUACCUGGAGGAAACCCACAGGGAGAACAUACAAACUCCACACAGAAAGGCCCCAGCCAACCACCCGGCAGGUUCAAGCCCAAAGCCUUGUUGCUGUGAGGCAACACAGAGUUAACCACUUAAUCCUUGUUGCCCAUAAAAGACUGAAUGGUUUGUUUUUUUUAUUUAUAAAAUGCGAUUUCUCCCCUAUCUCAAUUUGAAUUUGUUUUUUUCUUUUUUUGUCUGUGUGUGUAUAUUUAAAGUUAGCAUGCUGCAGCUGGUCUGCCAAACACAUGUGCUGCACACAUACUGGAUCUACCCAGACAAAAGGAAUGCAGCUGAUAUGAAUGUUUGAUUAUUACACAUGGUUUCUAUUCAGGGGAAGAACGGUGAGCUACAAACCUUGGAAUAAACCCGGCGGUGAACCAAUCCUGAGCCAGGUUGUCUUUAAUUUAUGCUAUAAGAAAAGCUCAUGGGAUAUGAUAAAAAAGACCAGAAUGUCAUUAACUUGUGCUUGUGAUUAAAAUUGGGAGGCAGAGGGACGUUAUGCACACAUUUGUGUGUGUGUGUGAUGUCCAUUCAUUCCCAGGCAGACGAUCUAUGUUUGUAUAUCAGGGUCUUGCUGGAUCUCUGCCAUGAAAUCUUGAUUAUGGCCCUUUGAGAUUCAUGAUUGUAGGAUUUUUUUCCCCUCAUUCCCCCUGCACAACACUCCUCAAUGAGUUUCCUGUUAAAAAAAAAAGAAAAGGAGGCACUAAUCUAAAACUAGUAAGGCUUUUGGGUGAACAAUCUGCUCUGCAAUCUUUAGAUGAAGUUGUUUAUUCUAAAGAGCAAACAGAUGAGGUUGAAGAUAUAAUUGGAAGGGAAAAAUGAGGACGGUGUAGAAGGGUAAAGAAGCAGAUUGAGGCUUUUUUUGUAAACAGACUGGGGAAACGUGUACAUGUUCAUUAGAGUAACUGCAAUAAAUAAACUUAAUAGGAUUGCGAGUUAAUUCCAAUCUUUAUUGGUCUGACCUUUUUUGUUUGUGUAAUCUUAAAGCAUGCCAGCAGGGACUGAAGGGCACUGCAAGUUUAGAGCAAGGCCUGCACGUAGCCUGUCUGUGGAAGUGUGAGCUACUGAGUGCAUAUAUGAAGCCUCAUGAGGUGUUGUUGGUCUCAUUCAGAGAGUCUGAAACAGGGUUGCAGGGGGCAGCUGGAGCCUAUUCCAGUUGCCGUAGUUCAAGAGGCAGUGUACACCCUGGACAGGUCACCAGUUGGUAGCAGGGCUAACACAGAAAGACAGACAACCAUUUGUGCUCACAUUCACACCUGCAGCCAAUUUAUUAUCACCAGUUAACCUAACCCCGCUAACUGCAUGCCUUUGGACUGUGGGGAAGCCAUGGGGACAUGGGGAAAACACGCAAACUCCACGCAGAAAGACCCAGGCCAAGAGGUGGAUUCAAACCCACUGUGGGAUGCAACAGUGCUAACUACUGUGCUGCCCUGAAAUUGCGACAUACAGCUUUCAAAUGGAUAACAUGUUGAUUGAUGACGCAGACUUAAUAAGUAAAGCUACAAGUUUGAAAACAAUGAAUAUUAAAAAGUGUGUGUCUUUUGUGAAGGCGUACACACUUCAGCCAAUGUACCCAAGUGGAAAAAUGAAAGGGUUACAAAUGUUCAAAGGUUUUGAUAUUGCUUCUUUUAUUUUACCACCCCCCCCAAGUAAUCAUUCAGAUUUAAAAACAACAGAUCUUCACAGUGAAGGACCUUGAUCCAGAGUGUUUGUGUCCAUGCUUGAAAAAUUACUCUGAAUAAAUUUUUUAAAAAAAAUUACUAAUUUGACCAAGAAUUUAAGAUCUUUCUGAUUUUUAGUGUGGUUUUGGUGAGUCAUUGGCCCCAAAAUAGUUAUUGGAAUAAUAUAAAUUAAACUGUGGCAAUGUGAUGACUGCAUACUGCCACAUCCACUGGUACACUGCCAAACAGGGCAAACAUUUCACUGUUGUUGGAAAGUUUAGUUUUCUUGCCCUUGAUUUAUGUAACACAAUCAGAGAGGCGUCUGAUCACUCUCAGAUUCAUUCUGUGGCCAGUUUUCUGAAAUCCUUGGAACAAUCAUGUACUGCUGCCUCACUCUGAUGAUUGACCGAGAGCAAAUCUGUUAUGCAAAAUAUAACUUCAAAUCCUUUUUUAUUUAACAUACUAUUUAUGGUCUUUUAAGUCUCAUUUUAGUAGUUUGCCUAAAAAAGUUUUGCAGAAUACUACAUCCUGUGUCGAUUAAAGGAUCUUUCCUUCCCUGUGCUCUGGAUCAUGGGCUGGUGAUGGCUUUGGAUGGAUGGGUAGUUUUAGAGGCAGAUAAGCAGGAAUAGUAAUUGAUUACUGUGGUGCAGAGGAACCUUAUAGGGAUAAUGCUAACACCUCAAGGCUCACAGGAUCCCUGCACUCUUCAACUCUGAGCUGAGGCUAUAAGGAGCAGAAGAGACAGCAGGGCAGGUUAGAUUUACCAUAAUCCCACUGGGGAUAGUGGGAUUAAAUUCUCUCUGUGGAUUCUUAUUCUUUUUUUACAUCAUCCACAUCCUGAUCAUUUGUAUGUGUUUAAUUGUUCAAUUAAGCUAUCUUUUCCUUUCUGGGGGGCUUUUUUUUUAGAUUUCUCUAACCCUGUAUCUGCUUAACCGUCCAGUACCUUCAUCUUACCCAGAGAAAUAUGUAUGUUGCCUUCUUCCUGAGUUGAUUUAAUGAGUUUAUCCAGAAGCAGAACUGGUAGCUAUACUAAUGCUGCUCAGAAGGGGAGAGAUGCUUUAUUGAGGGUGAG